CUAAGCAUGCCCAAGGACAACCAAUUGCUAAAAGGGUAAGAAUUAGCUCAAGGAUGGUUCCAAAGGAAGGCAAAUUGAAAGUGGAAGAGAACUUCUCCUCUAAGGCUUGCCAUUCUACUGCUUCUGAUGAUUCUACAAGGAAUAAAUCUAGCUCAGAGUUUGCAAUAUCACGUUCAUGUCCCCAGAGCUGCUGCAAGAUAAAAGAAGGGCUUGGAGGUGAAAUUCCAGGGGAAAUCCAGGGAAGCUUUUGGAAGUCCUGUAUAGCUUCGAGAAAGAGGUCUUUAAUGUUUCAACAGAGCAGUACAGCCAUUGAAAGACUCCAAAGGGAUCUUCGAAAUAUUUUGAAGCAGGAUCCUUUCAUCUUGACUGAAAAUGAAGAGGAUCUGCUUAUCUAUAAUGCAAACAGCCUGCAAAUAUCCUACAAUGAAAUUGGUCUUGGAGGCUUUCUUCUCAAAACCAACUCUACUACUGCUACUACUUUUCCUAGAGAACCUGCACCACCUGUUGAGACGCAAUCUUCUCUAGUGGAUGAUGUCAAACCGUCUUCAGUAGAUGUCAUGGAUUCUGGCUUCAAUGAGUCUCAAAAUAGAUCCUCAUCAAAGUAGCAAGAAUGAUGUGUGUUUAAGGAGGUGCCAAAGUGAGUGACUUAGGCUAUCUAAUUCCUCUACUUACUGAGAAUUUCAAGUACUUGUCUUGGAUUUACAAGAAGUUUAUGUUUUUCUCUUUGGAAAAUUGAUGAUCAAUACUAUCUAUGUUAAUCAAUCAUUGAUUCCAAGUGUUUAUGUUAUACGAUUUUCUGCUUGAGGUAGAUAGCAAUUUGAUUCUACAGUUCAUAUUCAUUUGGUGGAUUAGGUCAGGGUUUCUUGCAUUUCUUUUGGUUUUCAAUGAAUCAAUAUGAUUUGUUUUAAUAUCGUUCUCUUAGCACUUUAGAUGUCUAGAUGAACUUGUAUCAUUUGCAAAAUGUUUAUUUAAUGCUCCUGCUUCCAAAUUUUGAAUAUUUUUUAGUCUAUAUUACUAACCAGGUUGAAAUUUUUUCCAGGAAAGUAUCUCUUUUCUGAUGUUUCUGCAAUGCUUCUACACCUAUUAUCAUGCUAAACCUCUAGGUUCAAAUUGCCUCAGUAAAAACAAUUUUGUCCCAACCUAGUGUGGGUAGAUCUCCCUAUCUGGGUGUGGGAAUAAAUAGGCUUUUGUUGUCUGGUUUCUACAAAUCUGAAGGACUUGGUAAGAGUUUUAUCAAUUUGAUAUGUUUGUGGCUUUGUUCUGUUGGAAUGGCACCACUCGUCGUCAGAGGCCAUCGUCAUAUGAAGGGUCUAUUUGCAUGUGUGAAUGUGGGUAUCUUAAGAUCGUUGAGCUUAGCUCUUUUGGUUGCAGACCCCCUUCCCCUUCCCCUUCCUCUAAUAAGCUGUAGAAGAUUGAGAGGCAUGAGCUCUACCCAGUUCCCCCUCUGUUAGUAGCUAUUUGAUGGUGGUGAUUGUUGCUUUUGAGCUCCCGCGACUAGCUGGGUUGAUGUUUAAAGGCAAUGGCUUUUGGUUUGCAGUGUUUUGUUAUGAAAGCUUCCAUCUGUUAGCCUUUUCAGUAAUAAUCAUUAACCUUAAAUUAAAUUACUAGCCCUUCAGGCCUGAACUUCGGAAAAUUAAUACUCCACCAGCUUCACUUUCCAAUCCAUCAAUGAAAGAGGCAAUAAUAACCAUUAACCUAAAUUAUUAGUUGAAUGACAAUUUGCGGCAUUUUAGUAAUUUCUUGAUGGUUGAAAAAUCAUGCAAUUUCAAA
rnacentral:misc_RNA from 1 species